AGAGAGAGACAUGCGCGCAUAUCAAUAAGCGGAGGAAAAGGAAACUAACAAGGAUUCCCCUAGUAACGGCGAGUGAAGCGGGAAGAGCUCAAAUUUGAAAUCUUAAAGGGUUUCCCUUUACGAAUUGUAGUUUAAAGAAGUGUUUUCUGUUGAGGUUUUGGUAAAAGUUCUUUGGAAUAGGACAUCAUAGAGGGUGAGAAUCCCGUAUUUGACCUUUACUUUCAACUUUGUGAUACACUUUCAAAGAGUCGGAUUGUUUGGGAAUGCAGUCCAAAAUGGGUGGUAAAUUUCAUCUAAAGCUAAAUAUUGGCGAGAGACCGAUAGCGAACAAGUACCGUGAGGGAAAGAUGAAAAGAACUUUGAAAAGAGAGUUAAACAGUACGUGAAAUUGUCAAAAGGGAAGCGUUUGACACCAGUGUUGUUUUUCUGAAAAUCAAUUAAAGAACUGUUUAUGCUAAGUUGUUUAGACUUUAUCAGCUAUCUGUUUAGUUUUGAGCUUUUCUUUAAUGCACUUUUCAGUUAACAAGUCAACAUCAAUUUCUUUUGCUGUAAAAAAGCUUGAGGAAGGUGGCUUGAGAUUCGUCUUAAGUGUUUAUAGCCUCUUGCCUAUGCAGUCGGAGAGAUUGAGGUCUGCAGCGUAGAUCCUUCGGGGCUAAAUGCAUUUGUGCUAAGUUAUAGCAUUUUAUAGACAACUUGUUGACUAUGAUUUGUCUUGUAGCUUACUCGCUUAUGUUAUUUUACCUACGCUUAGGAUGUUGAGCGCAUGUCUCUCUCU
rnacentral:rRNA from 1 species